rnacentral:rRNA from 1 species
AGCGAACGCUGGCGGCAGGCCUAACACAUGCAAGUCGAACGAACCCUUCGGGGUUAGUGGCGGACGGGUGAGUGACACGUGGGAACGUGCCUUUAGGUUCGGAAUAACUCAGGGAAACUUGUGCUAAUACCGAAUGUGCCCUUCGGGGGAAAGAUUUAUCGCCUUUAGAGCGGCCCGCGUCUGAUUAGCUAGUUGGUGAGGUAACGGCUCACCAAGGCGACGAUCAGUAGCUGGUCUGAGAGGAUGACCAGCCACACUGGGACUGAGACACGGCCCAGACUCCUACGGGAGGCAGCAGUGGGGAAUCUUGCGCAAUGGGCGAAAGCCUGACGCAGCCAUGCCGCGUGAAUGAUGAAGGUCUUAGGAUUGUAAAAUUCUUUCACCGGGGACGAUAAUGACGGUACCCGGAGAAGAAGCCCCGGCUAACUUCGUGCCAGCAGCCGCGGUAACAC